rnacentral:rRNA from 1 species
UACAGAGGGAGCGAGCGUUGUUCGGAAUUACUGGGCGUAAAGGGCGCGUAGGCGGUCCGAUAAGUCCCGUGUGAAAUCCCUCGGCUCAACUGAGGAAUGGCACGGGAAACUGACGGGCUUGAGUUCGGGAGAGGGAAGCGGAAUUCCGGGUGUAGCGGUGAAAUGCGGUAGAUAUCCGGAGGAACACCGGUGGCGAAGGCGGCUUCCUGGACCGACACUGACGCUGAGGCGCGAAAGCUAGGGGAGCAAACGGG